UCAACCACUAGCAGCACUUUCUGUCAAGCUAUCGCGACAAAAAUUACUAUAUACCCUGCAGGAAUAUUUUCUCUAACCAGCUGCCGAUUUUUGAACAUCGACGGGUGCGUGAAUACUCUCCCGUCACCGGACUGGCUUGCUGCCCUAUUAGAACACCAAACACAGUCAAGUUCUUUUGACGACAGAGCAAGAGCACUAUCCCUCUCGGGCAGUUGCAAGAUCAAUUACAUCAAACUAUCUUGCACUCAUCCUACAUGCGGAUCUAAUGGACGUCUACAAGGUUACCGAAGCUCAACUCAAUGCAACGGCGUCGCAAACUGCAUCAGAGACAACGCAUCGCGAAAGCUUUUUUCUGAUGCCAAUCUAUGUCACUCUUUGGCAACUCUAAAGAAGUCGAGCACCUGCUCUGGAAAAAAUGAAUCGUGCACGUCGGGAGUUUCUAAUACUAAAAUGUCAUACUCAUCGGUUUCUCCUAAAGUCGUUCAAUCAUCCACGCCAGCGAUUGCAACAGAAGAUCAACGAAGAAAGCCUGGAUCAUCCAGGUCGGGAGCUUCUAUCACUACCUACUACGUUGGAAUCUGUAUAGCAUGGUCUGUGUUGGUACUCGUUGAAAACUGGUCGUCGUCGCACUGAGUAAGACAGACAGACUCAACGUGUGGCUACGGCUGGCAAUCAAGCUCACUCGCUGCUUAGAAUGUAAACAUACUACAUGUAGACUUAAUUAUUGCGUAAUCUUUUGCUGUAUUCUACUUCUGCCAGUUUCUCUGACACAUGUCCGUUGCGUUGCGUGUAUUGCAAAUUAAUUGUUAGUAUUAUUGUUCAAA